rnacentral:rRNA from 1 species
AUACGUAGGGGGCGAGCGUUGUCCGGAAUGAUUGGGCGUAAAGGGCGCGUAGGCGGCCCGGUAAGUCUGGAGUGAAAGUCCUGUUUUUAAGAUGGGAAUUGCUUUGGAUACUGCCGGGCUUGAGUGCAGGAGAGGUAAGUGGAAUUCCCAGUGUAGCGGUGAAAUGCGUAGAGAUUGGGAGGAACACCAGUGGCGAAGGCGACUUACUGGACUGUAACUGACGCUGAGGCGCGAAAGUGUGGGGAGCAAACAGGAUUAGAUACCCUGGUAGUCCACACUGUAAACGAUGAAUGCUAGGUGUAGGGGGUAUCGACCCCUUCUGUGCCGCAGUCAACACAAUAAGCAUUCCGCCUGGGGAGUACGGCCGCAAGGUUGAAACUCAAAGGAAUUGACGGGG